AAUGUUUCAUUUUAUUUGGCAGACAGUGCCAUAAUAUAAUUAACCAAAUCCAAAAACACCCCAUUUGAGCUGCUUCGGGGAACACAAUGAUGUCAGGGAGGAGCUUAAUGGUAAGCGCCACUGUCCAUCUGUUGCGGAAACAUAAUUGUAAGUGACAGAGAGAAUGGCGGCAAGUAAAAACAUCUCUGAGAUUAUGGCAACAGUGAACAUGGCAGAAGACGAGGAAUAUACUUCCAUUGAUACUAAUAUCUUCAAGAGGGAUCCAGAAUACAUUCCUAACAAUUCAGAUGACUCAGAGAAAUGACUCUGUUCCACCAAUGAAUCAGCUAAUAGGGACACUCAAAUGUUUUGCCCCUGGUGAUUUCCUUCUGUCCAUUGGAGACUUAAUUGGUAUUGACGGACAGCCAGCGACAUUAUUAAAGAGAUGUGUGUGACACAGGACAACAUGCACAAGAGAGAGGUUUUUUUCAAUUAUUUCAGUUCUCUAAUGUAAUAAACUCAAA